rnacentral:rRNA from 1 species
AUGGUUGGGACUUCCCAUGUCUUUUACUUUAGCUUAACCCCCAAGUCUCAAGUUUCUUUUCUUGCGAGGUAUACCUAUGGAGCGGCGGAGGCUGGCGGCAGGGGCGAGUCUACUGGUGGCGAAGGUGAGAUCGCCUUUUCUGUCUUCGAGAGGCAAGUCUGUUGGUGGCUGAGGCGAGAUCACCUUUUCUGUCUUCGAGAGACGAGUUUGUUGACAGCGGAGGCAAGAUCGCUUUUUCUGUCUUCAAGAGACGAGUUUGUUGGCGGCGGAGGCAAGAUCGCUUUUUCUGUCUUCGAGAGGCAAGUCUGUUGGUGGCUGAGGCGAGAUCACCUUUUCUAUCUUCAAGAGACGAGUUUGUUGACGACGGAGGCAAGAUUGCUUUUUCUGUCUUCAAGAGACGAGUUUGUUGGCGGUGGAGGCAAGAUCGCUUUUUCUUUCUUCAAGAGGCGAGUCUGCUGGCAGUGGAGGCGAGAUCACCUUUUCUGUCUUCGAGAGACGAGUCUGCUGGCGGCAUAG